rnacentral:rRNA from 1 species
GAUGAACGCUGGCGGCGCGCCUAACACAUGCAAGUCGAACGGCACCCCUCCUCGGAGGGAAGCGAGUGGCGAACGGCUGAGUAACACGUGGAGAACCUGCCCCCUCCCCCGGGAUAGCCGCCCGAAAGGACGGGUAAUACCGGAUACCCCGGGGUGCCGCAUGGCACCCCGGCUAAAGCCCCGACGGGAGGGGAUGGCUCCGCGGCCCAUCAGGUAGACGGCGGGGUGACGGCCCACCGUGCCGACAACGGGUAGCCGGGUUGAGAGACCGACCGGCCAGAUUGGGACUGAGACACGGCCCAGACUCCUACGGGAGGCAGCAGUGGGGAAUCUUGCGCAAUGGGGGGAACCCUGACGCAGCGACGCCGCGUGCGGGACGGAGGCCUUCGGGUCGUAAACCGCUUUCAGCAGGGAAGAGUCAAGACUGUACCUGCAGAAGAAGCCCCGGCUAACUACGUGCCAGCAGCCGCGGUAAUACGUAGGGGGCGAGCGUUAUCCGGAUUCAUUGGGCGUAAAGCGCGCGUAGGCGGCCCGGCAGGCCGGGGGUCGAAGCGGGGGGCUCAACCCCCCGAAGCCCCCGGAACCUCCGCGGCUUGGGUCCGGUAGGGGAGGGUGGAACACCCGGUGUAGCGGUGGAAUGCGCAGAUAUCGGGUGGAACACCGGUGGCGAAGGCGGCCCUCUGGGCCGAGACCGACGCUGAGGCGCGAAAGCUGGGGGAGCGAACAGGAUUAGAUACCCUGGUAGUCCCAGCCG